UAAUGCUCAGCUUUGUUUGCGUGGGAUUUUAAAAGCGGAAUCGAGAGCUGACUCCUGGGUGACCUCAGUUUAUUGGGACCCGGAGGGUCAGGACUUAAUUCUGCGACCGGGACUGGGAAGUUGAGGGGUGUGUUUGUGCGGUGUAAGGAAAGAACUCCGGGAAAGUUCUCGUUAAAAGACACCUUCUGUUCCCUGCCCCCUCCCUUUCAAUGUUAAAAGUUCUUGGUGAAAUAUCUUUCCAGCUGAGGCAUUUUGGAUUAAUAGAUAACUCAUCAGCUGCAUUCUUCUCUGAUGAGUCAAAGACCCCGAAUGUGGGUGAUUAGGUUUUGUAAAUUUAGGGGCGAUGUGGGGGGCGGGGCGAAUAAGAGUUUAAAACUUUACAAUUCACCAAGCGAUCAUCUAGGCUCCUUUAAUGGGACUUUGACUUCUGAGCGUAAAUUUUAUGUGGUGCGUCCGUAACAACGUUAAAAAUGUUGCGGCGGCGGUGCGUUCCGUUGGUAGAAACAAAAUUUAACUGUGGGAGGGAACUCCCUGAACAGACGUUUCAGAAUUUUGUAGUUAGGAUAUUUGUGGUAUCCUUUUAAAUGGCUUUGUUCCUGCAGGUACGUAAUCUGGAGUCCAAGAAACAAUACUUUUUUCGCCUACUUUUUAGGAUCCCUCAUAGCUGAGUUCUUAAACAUUCUAAAAAGAACUUGAGUGUGGAGAUGCAGGAAAGUAUGCAUCUAGAAUAAGACCUGUAAGGCAUUCUUAGAGGUCUUGUAUUCCAAUAUAUAAAGUUAACAGAAUGGUAAACUGAUUGUUAAGCGGUUAGGAUGUUGAGAUUAUUAUGGAGAUAACGUGUUGCGUGCAGACUAAGAUCCUGAUAGUGAAACCAAACGUUGGGGAGGAUUUAAAUAGUACUUUUAAGUCCUCAGCACAUUGUCCACUUGUGGAAAGGGAACUAUUUAAAUGAAGAUAGAGGGACUUAAGACCAUGCAAAUCAAUGCAAAACACAAGAUUUUACUCUUAAGCCCAUUUGUAUGGGGCAACCCACCUGAAUUGCAGUAAGCUGAAAAUUGCCUUCACACCUGAGGGUAAUUGUGCUUUUUAUUUUAAACUAUUAUUUUGAAAAGUGUUAUUUACAUGCUAGUUCUUUAGGACUACUGACAUUCCCCUCUUUUCAGAGAGUCCGAGACCUGAAUUGCAAGUUGCACUUUUUUUUUCUUGAAUCUUACUGACUGCUCUAUUUAUUUUCCCUACCCUUGAAAUAAAAUUUUAAAAAUGAGGAGUGUGCUUCUCUAAGGAGUUGCUAUAUUUAACUAAUUCACCUAACACACCAAUUGCUUCAGAAACCUUUCUAUUUCACUUAGAUGGGCAGUCUGUUUAUUUUUAAGGGUAAGACGGUAUGGUGUGAAACCAUCUUUCUCUGCUCACCCAAUUGAGAAUUCUUGUAAAUGGAAAAGUUAAUCAGGCAGACCCAAAGGCUUUUUUUUUUUUUCUUUUAGUAGGUAGCAGAAGAGGUUUAAGUGUUCCAAAACCAUAACCUACUUAACUUGAGAAAAUUAAGUAGAGAAAAAAAAUCGCAUUUUUCACGUAACCCAUCUCAGCCUCACUGCCACCAGGACUGAGGUGUUGUCGGCCCCGUUCCUGGGGCGCCUUAAUGUGUGAAGUUGUGUAUGAGUAGAACCGCAGGUGAGCUUAGUACAGAGUUACUGCCUCUUACCUGUUCUUUUGCCCUGACCAUGUGCCUUUUUCAGGAGGCAACAGCAUGUGGCUCUACGACGGGUCAGCAGUUUUGGCGAGACAGUUAUUUUAAAACUAAGUGGACGGUUAGGAAGAGUUUAGAACCCAAGUUGUACCAGAGGUGGAGUAUAAAGACAGAUACCCCAUGAAGAGAGAGAAUGUUAAACAUUCAGGAGAAGAAAGGAAAUAGGCCUUGAGUGAUGCAGGUAAUUUUGCGCUAAUUCUCUGUUUUGAGUUUGUUUUGUUUUUGAUAAACUCUAACCUCUUUUUUUUUUUCCUAACCCUGAAAGCCACAAGUAAAAUAAAUAGGGUAUUUGGUGAGUCCCAUUAAUGUGCUCAGCGUUAUACAAAAACCACCACCCUGGACCCUUUCCCUGCCCACCCAGCGAACAGCAAUUUGUUCUCAAACACAUUUAAAAGCCUUGGCUGAGGAUUCCAGUAUACAGAACACACACAUAUAAAAUGUAUAUACCCAUAAUGACAAGAGAGGGGGAAAAUGUGUUUUGUUGUCAUUUCUGGUGGCCAUUGAGCUGACUUGGAAAAGCAAGUCCAAUCAUCAUUAAGAGAAAACAGUUUAUUUCCUAGAACAUCAGAGCAAUUUAGGCUUUCUCUACCACUUCAUAGAAUCCAAGGGUUUUUUUUUUCUCUAUUUUUUCAAAUGAGUUCCUUUUAUCUUCCAGUGCAUUUUAGCCCUGUAUGAGAGCUUUUAAAGCAUACUCUGAAAUAAUUGAUACCGAAACACUUGUUUGGUUCCAACUGUAUAGAACGAACGGCCCAGGAUUGAGGAGAAUUUCUGUAGCUUUUUGGGGUCUGAGAACUUGGACAGGACAUAGACUUCUGCGUUGGAUACUAUUGAAAGCUUUGAGGAAAAAUCCUUUUUAAGAUUUUGCUAGCUAGCUGUAAAAGAUAAUACAUCUGGCCUUCUGGCUUACUGUGUGCUUGUUUCUCUACAACAUGUCCCUUUAAAGAAGCCAGUUGUCAAAAUCUUAACUGGAAUCUGAGAUUUAUAGGGCUUAUGUAUAGGGCAUUAGAUAAUUUCUUACAUCAUUUUACAGUUGAUGAAAUCCUAGAAUUUUGCAUCUAGCUUUGGACCAGGCAAUAUUCUCUUUAAACACCUUUGGCGAUUUGAACUGGACUAGACUUUAUUAAAAAUCAGUAAACAUAUGUAGAGCAGACUCCGUUUGUCUUGUUGAGCUUUAUGUAUCAAGACUUUAUCUGGUCGUAGAUAGAAAUUUAUUUUUGGUCCCUUAAUUUUCAAAACAAUUUUUUUUUGAAAUCCGAUAAAUAUGCAAUUUGGUUUUGCUUUUGCUUUUGCUUUUAGCCAGGUCAUUGAGCAUUUUUCAGGCUGAUCACAAAUCCUUUCUUAAAGGUGUUUUAUUAUGUUGAAGCACCAGUGGUAAACAGCAAGCUUUCCUUAAAUUGAUUUGAACUUCCUUGUACUUAAAACUAGAAAAGCAAAAAAGUUGACAUUGUUGCGAUAUUGACUGAAAAGAUACUUGGCAGAUGUUGGGCAGGAAUCAUGUACAGUUGGUUCUUUACAAGCUAAUACAAAUCUUCACCUCACUUUCCUUUUAAAGUGCUUAGUGGGGUGCCUGGCUAGCUCAGUGGGAAGAGCAUGUGACUCUUGAUCUCAGGGCCAUGAGUUUGAGCCCCUCGUUGGGUGUAGAGAUUAAAAACCAAAAAGCCUUAAAAAAAAAAAAAAGUGCUUAGUAAUCUUGCCCAAAUAUUGGGGUCAUGAAGAAAAUUGUUUCCUCCAGUUGGCCCACAGAAAGGCUACCAUGUCAGUUGAGGAUGGCAGUGUCUCAAGCUUUCAAGUGGGCAUUAAGAUAAUCUACAUUAUGACUUGGGCAAAGACUCAGAAUACUCUUUUUUUUUUUUUUUUUUUAAGAUUUUUAUUUAUUUAUUUGUCAGAGAGAGAGAGCGAGCACAAGCAGGGGGAGCAGCAGAGGGAGAUGGAGAAGCAGACUCCCCGCCGAGCAGGGAGCCCUAUGCGGGACUCGAUCCCAGGACCCUGGGAUCAUGACCUGAGCCGAAGGCAGACGCUUAACGACUGAGCCACCCAGGCGUCCCAAGACUCAGAAUACUCUUAAACAGUUCAACCACGUCUGGAGUCUGUUAUUCCAAAUCAAAUCUAAUAUAACAAACCUAUUUCAGCCUUUGAAGAGGCUUUGGUGAUAGUUCCAAAAGGAAAGCACAAUGACCUCCUAGUAAAAUGCUGCUAAAGAAGCCUGCAAAUAUGGCAUGUGCUUUUGAGCUGUUUUUCCAGUAGUUUUAAAAUUUCCCUCAUAAACCCUUGUGUUCUUGUGCAGUCUUUGUUUCUCCAUGGCAUUUUUGUUGUUGGGUGGAUCGUUUGAUAGGGUAGAGGUUCUUUUCAGAGUUGCUUUCAUACGGUUUUUGUGGGUUCGUAUGAAUUUGUGCUUCACGGACAGAAUGAAUUCAUUGUUGGUGAUGAGGCAAGACAGUGGGCGCUGAUGUGUACUGCAAGGUGACGCAAAUUCAUGCAGCUUUCUGGAGGACUUUGCUAUUAUAUGGCAAGAUAUGUUCGUGAAUUAGUUACUUCUGAUAGUGAACAGUCAUAAAGACUCUUCAAUGUCUUACCCAGGGACAUUGCUAAAGUAAAUCAUGGUAUAAUUUCUGUAAGAGAAUAAUAAGUAGCCAUGAAAGGCCAUGUUUUUAAAGGAUGUAUAUGUAUAUGCAUAUAUUUACUUUUGUUGUUGUUGGUCCAAAGCAGCAGAAAUGCAUUCUCUCACUGUUCUGGAGGCCAGAAAUUUGGAAUCAAGGUGUCCGCGUUGCCACAUUCCCUCUGAAGGCUGUAUUGGAGAAUCUGACUUUUUCUUCCCGGCUUCUGACAACAUUUUAAUUGAGGGCAUAAUUGUCAAUGUUAGGACAUUAAACAAAAACAGAUUUAAAAGUUCUUUGUGAUGCCAAUUCUUAAAAAAAAAAAAAAACCAAACCCCAAAUAGGUAAAAAAAAUAUAUGUAUAUUAAUAAAAAUUAUUAGAUUUUUACCUUCUAAUGCUUUUCUAUGCUUUCUAAAUUUUCUAAAAUGAACAUGUGAACAAAAUUGUAAAAAAAAAAAACAAAAAACAAACCCACCCAACUGUCUUUUUCUUUGAGUAUUCCGUGGAAUUUCUUUGCUGUACUUGUAGAUGUCACAAAACCAUUGGGUUGGUCCCACUUCCUUUUGCUCCCAAGCCUUGCUGCAGGAACCCAGCCUCUUCAGUUCCUUGCAGCCCUUCUCUGUGUUGCUCUCACUCAUUCCUUUUCUCCUGGCUCAUCUUAGUGCUCUUUAGCUGCUCACCUUGUUCUACCAUGCUUUCUCAGUGCAUCUUUCUAUCAUACUGCUCGGUCCUCUAAUGGGUCCUUCAGCACUGAUCUGUUCUCUGUACAACAAAGUCCAAACUUGACAGUCAGGAUUGCCCUCAUGUACCCCUGUGCUCUGUAAACCAUUUGCUCCAACCAUCUUUUCCCUCUUGAUCUAGCUUGAGCUGCUUUCAAGGCAGGAGCCAAGUUUCAGCCUACAUUGUGCAGACUCUUGUCACCUGAAGGUUCCAUCCCAAAGGGAUGGUUGUCCUCAGAAUUCCAGUAGAAGUUGCUUUGUUCUCUUUAACUCCUGGAUCAUUACCUUCUUUCAUGUAAUUGUUUUUUUUAAAAAGAUUGAUGCCAUCUCAUUACAGUAUUCCCAAUAUUCAACUCCUACCCAAAGAUAGUACUCCAGUACCAGGUGAGUACUCCCCCACAGACACACACACUUACUCAUAUAUACACAUAUAAUUCUUUAUAAAUAAUUUGUAAAUGUGAAAUAUCCUUAUUGGUAGGGUUGGUGAUGAUGACUUAGUAUAGGUAGGCUGUUAAAAAGCAGACACUUAGUUACUAUUCAGGUCCUUGCCCACUGGGAAAUUAGGGAAGUUGUGGAUGGAUCAGGUGGGAAAUGAACUCGCUCCACCUGCCAUCUACAGCCUCUCUGCUUCUCCGGAGGGACAUUUGGGUUUUCACCAAUAGAAUUUGGUGGUGGGUGCCGUGGAACUCUGACCUUUUGGACGCGGGCUCCUGGGAGCUUUGGUGAGGUGGAAGAGCCCGGAGCUCCCUGUGUUCCCAAACAAGCCUGCUCUGUGUGACAGCCACUUUGGAAUGUUUGUGUUCAGUUUCAUUUGGCACCUUAGUGUCUGCCUGGGGGAAGGGGGAAAGGGAAUGCAAAUGUUCCUCUUGAACAGUGCUUGCUUUGGUCAAAGAAAAAACUUAGGAAGGAAUGAGGGGAAUGAACCUUAAUCAUAGCUGGAGCAGAAGUGGCCGCCUGGCUCAGUGGGCUUGAGGCCAGCAGGGACCAGGGAUUUAAAUUGACGCUGUUGAUGCAAGGACGUCAUCUGGUGAUGGGGAUGAGUCUACUUGAUGUGUGGGGAAGACUUGGGUUGGCACGCCUCGCACUCACAUCCCUAUCUUGAAAAGAGUACUGGGAGACUAUUCGAAACCACUUCAGUGCAUCAUUGCGGGGGGCGGGGGGGGGCAUGACUGCAAACUCAAGGAAGGUUGCACGUUUGAGCUUAUCACAGUAAAGUUGUUGCCUGGUUUGUCGUUUUUGCUCAAUAGAAAAAAGACUGGAAUGUUUGAUCCUAUGCAAUUCUCAGAAAUCUUUUUAAUCCAUUCACUCAAAUAAUAAAUGCUAACUUCUGAGUAUUUACUUCUGAAUAUUUACCAGGUACUGGGCACUUUAUACGCAAACUCCAUUAUUUUAUCCUCCCCGAGAGCUGAGGGAGGUAUUAUAUUAGGAUGGUGAUGAAUCUUUUGUGAUGGGAAGAUGACUUGGAGUGCAGGUUGGUGUGGGGGGGGGGGGGGCGCUGCGCGAGCUGGUUUCUGCUGGUCACUUGCUCCGGGUUGGGGUGGUGACGGCCCCAUGUAAACAGGUGUAAUGAAGCAUGGGGCCCAAGUGGAGUUAGAGUUGGGAACACAGUACUGCAAGGACGAGAGGGUGAAGGCCUUGUGUCAAAGAGCUGACAUUGCAGUCAAAUGCUCUACCACUGAGCUGUACCCCCAAAGAGCUGAUAUUGGAGCUAAGAUUCUCAAUUCACUUCUUGCCAGAUGAGGGAAGGGUUGAGACCGUGGGUGGAAGAUGGGCCUGUGUGGAGAUGCAGGCUUAAGAGCGGGGGAGAGCAAGCAAGGCAUGGCAGGAGAGGAAGGGGAGUUGAGGAUGAGGCUGGGGAGCGGCAUUGGUUGGGGGAGAAGGUAGAGGAGCUUGCCUCUCAUGCCAGGGAAGCCGACUCCACUCUUUGGUUGGCAUCGCGCUGCUGUGCAGCAGGGACCCGGCCCUAUGGGACCUGCCAGUGGGAAAGGGGAGGCAGCAGGGUUGGGAAGAGUUGAGAGAGAAGAGUAACGCUGGUACUGCAGGAAUCCUAGUCUCCAAGGAAAGUGGCAGCAGCGACUCAGCCACAGGUAUUCAGGGGCCUCAGUAACUGUCAGCGCCGAGGGGAGACGAGGAGUUUCAUUCUGGAAGCCUCUCAGAGUUUCUCCUCUGGACGGCCAGCUACAUGGUGGUCCUCUUUGUACAAGAAAUAGCAAAUUGAGCGGUUGAAAAGGGGGGAGAAGGCCAUGAGGAGGUGAAGCCAGCGGGGUUGGAGAUGCAGAGGAGACGUCUGAUCUUGAAAGCAAUUUUCAGAAGAGUUUAAGUCUAUAUAGCCGGUAAUUGAAAAGGUGGGUAAUGUGAAGGAGUGCCUGGAAAACUGAAGAGAGGCGUGGGACUCUGGUUCCUGGGGAACCUUGUGAGGGUGGGCCACAAAAGACCCCCCCCCCCCAAAUCUACCUAACACUUGAAUGUAUGUAAAGACAAAACCGAGAACUUCGAGGGAAGGGGAAGACCUGGAAAUGCUCAGGAAAAACUGAAGCAAAUUUUUUAAAGCACUUUUUAAUUUAGGAAUAUGAGAAUGUGUUCUGUAUCUGCCUAGUUUAUAAGAUAAUAGUAUUCAGUGUGCUUAUCUGUUUGAAAGCCUGAGUGUGGGAGGGAAGCUUAGAAAAAUCUAGGUAUAUAUAGUAUUUCCCAUACACUUUUUUUUUUUUGCUUUCAUCAACGGUCUCUGGAAAUUUUUUCCUCUACGAUUUGCAGUUAAUUCCGAGGCUUUUGGUCCUCCGACUUUUCUUUUUCCAACGCUGUACCCUAGCCUAGAAGGGAAAAAUCAAGCUACCCUAAGAUUUUUGUAGAUGGGUUUGGAAGGUAAAGGGGGAAGACCCAGAGAAAACAUUCCCUCACGUUUUUUGGUUCUUUCCUGACUUUAUUAGGUGGGGAGUAAAAUGAGCCUUUUGCCAGACCCCAAGCUCCUCUUACUCGGUGGGUCCUCUUUUCCAUUGGCUCAUCUGUGCUUUCCUAAAAGUUUGCUGCUCACAGCUCCGUGUCACCCCUUGAAGAAAGAAAGGUGGUCUGGGAAUUUUAAGAAAAACAACCACCUGCAUUUGUAUUCCUCAUAGGUUUUUCCCCCUGCUGCACCCAUUAUGAUGCAGGUUAUGUAGAAUCCAAGAGGGAAAAAGGAAAUGGCAGUAAUAAAUGCCAAUCGCACCGGGAAGAUAGUUCCAAAUUCCAGGCUGUAAUACAGUAUUGUCACACAAAUUUAAAAUGCGGAAGGAAUGCUGACACAGCCUACCUCAAUCCUGGGGGCCCCCAGGAUUUUGCAAAGGGUCUUGAGAAUUGAGGUGCAUCUCACCAACACGAUGCAAGUGAGUUAGAGACCUGUUCCUACUUUCAACUCCUCUUUAGUUCUCAUGAGUCGGUUUUUAAAUGAUGUUCUCUGCUCUUCCUGACUUAUUUAAUGUCACCAGGUAGAUAGGCUGGUCGGUGGCCAACAUUAUCCUAAGAGAAAUCCCAGAGAUUAAAAACAAAAACUAAAAACUGCUUUUCCUUGAAUCCCCAGGAUUCUGUUUUGUGAGAAUUUCUCUCCUGCCCACCUAUAGGAUGGGCAAUUGGGGCCUCCUGAGAGAAGGCACAGCCCAGAAAGUGCUACCUUAUUACAGAAGUACCAGAAUUUCCUUUGUGCUCUGAGGGAAGUGCCACAAAAGUGUAAUUACUUUCCCCAGCAUGUGUGAUUUACAGGAUUUAAAAAGUGUGAGUUUCCGAAAAGGCAUCUGUUUUUAAAUACAGUAUUCCUCUAAGCCAACAGGAUGUGUUUGUGGGCUGGGUGAGGGUCUCUCUCUGACACAUGCAGACUUUCUUUCUCUCUCUCACAUACACACACUUCUGUCCUGUGCCUGCCCAGGGACGCUGGGUGACUGGAGACUAAAAACGUUGGGAAUUGCUUCUCCUCAGGGCUUUAUCAGCAGAAGGAAACCUGCAAAGUGCUGGAGUCCAGUGUCCUGAUUCCGUCUCCCCCCACCCCCUCCACUCUAAGCCCCAGUUCCUCCUUUUCCAGAAUCUCCUAGCUCUUUCCCGUACUGAGCAAAGGGACUGUUAGAGCUAACAAACGCUGAGACCAUCUUGGUUGCAAAAAUCUCCUUUUCCAUCUUCUGUGUAAGAAAAUUGGAGAGUUGAAGAUCAGGUGCAUAUCCAAAUGUAAUCAAACUUGUAAACGUGUUUAUGGAUUUUUUUUUCUUUUUGCACACUCCUUAAAAGCAUUUACUGAGCAACGUCUACUCUGUUUUUAAAUGUUGCACUUUAACAACCAAAUGAGGUGUUUCAUCCCAUGGUUUUGGUAUAAGAAAACUGAGGCUCUGAGAGAUUAAGCAAUUUGUCUGAAGUUUUAGUGCUGGUGGGUAAGAGCUUAAAAUUUUUCCAGUGGUGCACGAGGUUCAUGUGAUCAAGGCCCUGCUGGUUUCUGACCUCAUCUACCAGGAAUCACAACCUCAUUCAUUAUGCUUCAGCUGCUUGGGCCUUAUUUAGAUAGCUUCUACUUGCCAAACUUGUUCCUGCCUCAGGGCCUUUGUGCGUGCUGUUGGGUCUGCCUGAAAAAUCCUACCUGCAGAUAGGCAGCCUCAUCCUUAUUCAUUCAUAUCUCUGUUCAGAUGUUACCCAGAGAGAUCUUUGAUCUCCAGGUUUAAAGUACCCCACAUUCCCAAGCACUAUUCUGUCCCUCUUUUAUUUUCCAUAUCCCUCAUGUAUUUCCUUACUGACAUUACUUAAUGUACUUGUCUUAUACUCCUGGAAUGUUACUCCCUGGCAGCAGGGACCUCUGUCUUGUUUAAGGCUGUAACCCUCAGUGCCUAGAACAAUGCCUGGAACUGCCAAAUAAAUUUGUUAAGUGACUGGAAUAUGAACCAACCUGUCAGACUUGGGGCCUGUGCAAUAUACAUAUUGUCCGAAACCUUUUCCAGCAGUUUUGAAUUAAAUUUUGAUUACUGCUGCCUUGAAGAUGAGCAUUUCUGGAUGCCCAUCCCCACUUAAUUACAUCAGAAAGUCACAUCAUCGCAUCGCUUGUAAGCCAGAAAUUUUAUUUAUUUUUUGGCUUUUUACGUUUUUAAUUCCAGCUAGUUAACAUGCAGUGUUAUGUUAGUUUCUAGGCCAGAAAUUUUAGAUGGCGAGUGAUUAGGUCUUUUGUCUGGGGGUGUGCACAUAAUGGAAUCCUUGCCUUUGUCCAGCUAGAACGGAAACCUAGCACAAAAUUCCACAGAACCGGGAGUGUGAUGUGGGCCCGGCAAGGCGUGAUAAGUAAAAGUAGGGCAAGAUGAAUUGGAUCCCUGUUUUGCAGAUGUGUCUGUCUGUAGGGUUGCAAAGGGUUAAUGUUAAUAAUCCAGGUGGAAUUGAUUUGGAGAUAGACUUAGCACUCUCCUUUGAUUUAGUCUAGCCCCAAGCUCAGUAUGCUUUCCUCCCCUUGCCUACAAAAGGCAUAGCUCAGGAUAAGGCAGGCUUUAGCUGGACGAAUCCAGCCUUUAAGCACCUGUAUGGGCAGCCAUGAGGGAAGGCCUAAUCUGGGCUCUGUGAACCUUUAUGGAGGAGGCAAUUUGCAGCUACAAUUUCUACCCACUUGUCAGCCUCACAAACUCACACUGUUUUUAUUCCUUGUAAAGCAGAGCAGAUGACAUUUCAGGAAGAAAAAAAUGUAAGUCGUCAUUACUUUGGUCACCAGACUGCCUGUUAAUUGAGCAUACUAAUGCACUCAUGACCAUGCAGGCCAUUGGAUUUAUCCCCAUUUAUGGCAUUUGCGUCCUAGUACUUGACCUUGAGCAAACUUCUUAAACUUAACCGUCAUCCAUUGUCCAUUAGUCUUAGAGACAGUGGUUUAUAGACAAUGGUAUAUAAGUCCUCUGAUAGUCGGUUCUUGACCAGAUCAUUGAUACUCUUUAUUUUUUGUCUUUUUUUUUUGCUGAGGGACCUAGGACAAGCCCUUUAAGCUGCUUGCUUUGACAUUUAAGCUCAUUUCCUUAACUAAAUCAUGGGGAUUGGACAGACAAUGCCUGCUGUGCUUGAAAAGAAUCCUAACUCCACUCCCGUGUCUCUGCCUCCCUCCCCUUCCGUUUCUGAAUCCCGGUAGAGGAUGCUGCUGGGGUGGCCCACCAGCCAAGUUCCAUCUUGGGUGGAGGCUGUUGGGGGAGGGGCAUGGUUUUAAGCCUGAAAUUUUGUUUUGCUUUGUUGUUGUUUUUUUACUAAGAAAAUCAAUGCUUCUCCUUGAGAAAUGGGUGGGAGUUUCUGGGUGUGAGCUAACGGCAGGAAAUGACCCUCUCUAAACAAAAGGACUCUUUAAGGCCCAUCCUGAGUCUUUGUGUUUUGAGAAGGGGUUAUGCAGAAGACCUGAGCUACGAAAUGAAUCUCUGUUUAGCCAUCCUAAUGGGGGAGGGGAGAAAGGAGAAAAUGCCUUCCCUGCUUGCCCUCCUGAGUGUCCCAGGUGGUACCCACUAUGAGUGCCAGAGUAGUUUAAGAGUAGGGCCUGGGGUGGGCUUUGGGCUAGUGUGGCUUCUUACCCCUCCUUCCACCCCUCCCGCAGGAGGCAAGAAGGAACCAAGUUAGGCAGAAUUACAGGCUGUGUGACGUUGUCUUUAAUCUGGACUUCUUGGAAAAACCCAUCACCAGCAAAAUGCAGAGAGAGAAUGAGGAAGGGGGGAGAAGCUAUUUUGUAUGAUCCAUGUCUCUGUAAGUAAACGUGGAUUUAUUUAUUUUUAAAAGAUUUUAUUUGACAGAGACAGAGUGAGAGAGAGAACACAAGCAGGGGGAGUGGGAGAGGGAGAAGCAGGCUUCCUGCCGAGCAGGGAGCCCAGUGCGGGGCUCGAUCCCAGGACCCUGGGAUCAUGACCUGAGCUGAAGGCAGACGCCCAACGACUGAGCCACCCAGGCGCCCCAAACAUGGAUUUAUAAAUGAAGCAAAGAUUUGAAUUACUGUGUUAACUGCUUUUCAUUCUUCUAAAUCUAAACGAUGAUCCAAUAAUAGCUGGUGACCUCUGCCUCUUGACUAACAAGGGAUUUGUAAUCAUUGCUGUGUUGAUAGCCGGCCCAUACGAAGAAAUGAAAUGUCGGGCCUUGCCCCUGCUUUGGAAUGCUCCCGCACUUUAAAGUGACUGCUCAUUAUUACCACUACUUCUAUAGCGGGAUCCUGAAUUUAUAUUGUAGCAGAGUAGUUCUGUCUUAUCAAAAUUAUUUUGCCUUUACAAAUUCUUGCUGACUUGCUGCAAUAAACUACUUCUCUUCCGGGCACACCAUUUUUUUUUUCCCCCCAGGAAUAUAAAUCUUCCCACUAAUAAUUAGAAACAAACAUUUUGUUGAAAAUGGUUUUGUGGUCUACUUAGUUUUCAGAACACUUGAAAACGACAAACAUCUUUUCAAAGCACAUUGUUGCGUCACUAUUUUUAGGCUUUAUAUUGUCAUUGUAUUUUUAGAAAGGCCUGGUGAUGUCUUCGGUGGGCACUGGUGUGCUAAGGGGAGAGAGCUGGUUUACUUCACAGCACCAGUCUUAAUAAUUGCAGAGACAGGACUGAAGCUGCCGCUCAGAACCCUGUGUGAAAAGGCUUUGUUCAUGUACUAAAUGUGUUGGAAGACUAUCUUUAUGAAUUGAGGGGUGCAGUAUUGUUUAAAAGAGACCCAAUCAUUGUAAAUUCCAGGGCUUGCAUGGAAAAAGGAUUCUCACUGAGAAUUCCAGUGUCUGAUGUCUUGAUAGGGUUUCUCAUUUUCUUUUUUUUUUUUUUUUAAAUAUUUAUUUAUUUUUAAUGAGAGAGAGAGAGAGCACAUGAGAGGGGGGAGGGUCAGAGGGAGAAGCAGACUCCCUGCCGAGCAGGAAGCCCGAUGCGGGACUCGAUCCCAGGACUCCAGGAUCAUGACCUGAGCCGAAGGCAGUCGCUUAACCAACUGAGCCACCCAGGCGCCCCAGGGUUUCUCAUUUUCUUAAGACAUAAACUUAGGGGAAACGUUACUGUUGUAGUGUUGUUAAUUUACACAUGUGGAGAUACGUACUGACUUAGAUUCUUCUGGAGGCUUAUAUACAGUGUACACUUGGCAUAUGUUUUGCAUUUUUAAAGUAUCCCACUAUUUUCCAGUCAUUAUCUAUGGUAACAUCACUUGUAUUUUUACAAAGAAAAGAUAAAAAUACCAGUGAUAAUCUACCCACGACAUUUAAGCUGCUUAUUACUAAGCAGUGCCUGGUGCUGGAAUGCUUUGCCUGGAGACCGGUUUCUGCUGCAAGCAACGGUGAGGAAGACUAAACAUUUCCAAACCAGUAUACUUCGCCUAGGUUAGUUUGUAGUUUCGAUGGAUUCAGGGAUGGAGUGGAUCUGAUUUUACGGGAUGGAGGAGCAGCUUUUUCUGUAACUCUUCACCUCCAUGCAACUACUGGUAAACCUUGAAGCCAAGUGAAAAUGUCCUGAUUGGGAAUGUUUGUCCAUUCUUUCCAUGUUCUUGGAUGAUCAAAGGGAAAUGUCUUGCCCUCUGCAAGACCAGCAUCUGUUGCCAUUUGGUCAUAGUGCACCCAGCCUGCGGACUCUGUAUCUUAAAAAACAAAAACAAAAGUCAGUUGUGGGGGCGGCGGGGGGGCGGGAACAAAGCCUCAAAAAUGCUUAUGGGGCUUUGGAAUAUUGUGAGUUUCUGCUUUUGGCAAAUACACGUUGGAGAAGUUUUAGCUAUUAACUGUCCUUUCCUCUCCAUUCCUUAAGCCCCACAGGCCUUUAAUCAACAUGAAAAUUGCUCUUGUUUCUGUUGUAAGUCAUGGGUCAUGAUUAUGCAGAGAAAUCCUGUUGGUGCGAGCUUAUCCUGAAGUCAACAAAAAAAGUGUUACUUUUCCUUACUCCGUAAUAAAGGCUGCCCAAGGAAAACUUGGGUGCUGCUCAGUACAGAGGAGACCGGCACAGAAAUCCAUUCGUGUGACCUGGGUCCUCCUCCUCAUUCCAGUGCUCUCUGAAAUCUCUCCACCAAACUAAUGUGCAUUGUAUUUUCCAAACUGAAAUUGCGGUCCUCUUCCUUGGAAAGCCUGUCAUAAAUACCUCCCCUCCCUCCCCAUUUUUUUUUCCCUCCCCAUUUUUAUUUAUUUAUUUUUUAAAGAUUUUAUUUAUUUAUUUGAGACAGAGAGAAUGAGAGACAGAGAGCAUCAGAGGGAGGAGGGUCAGAGGGAGAAGCAGACUCCCUGCCGAGCAGGGAGCCCGAUGCGGGACUCGAUCCUGGGACUCCAGGAUCAUGACCUGAGCCGAAGGCAGUCGCUUAACCAACUGAGCCACCCAGGCGCCCUCCCUCCCCAUUUUUAAAGGAUUAAUUUUGAGAGGAGAUUUCUCCUAUAGGGACGUGGUAGAGGAAGCAUAUUGUUCCUUGUGAAGUCCUGAGGUCGUGUGCCUUUGUGGCAGCUCUAGGAUAUUGAUGUAAUUUUUCGCUGCCAUAUUGGACAUUUGUAGCACCCACUCCUACGGCAUAGCUUCUAUGUACUGCAGAGAUUUCCUCCUGGGAUAUUUUUGCAUAUUUUAAAUCCUGUUACGCACUUAAUUCUGUCGUUUCUCCCAACAUUCCUCCAAGGAAGGGUAGUAAUGUAUUGCUUCUCUUUUAGAGAUUAAAAUAAUGGUAAUGAAUCCAUUGGAUAUUUAAUUUCUUUUAUUUUUUUUAGGAUUGAGAUUCCUUUCCAAGAUUCCUAAGCCAAUUUGUUCACCUAAUUGGAUCACAUUGUGUCCCGAGUUUCUUUUCACUUUUUCUUAUUGGAGAAUAAAUUCACCCACAUUAUCCCCUCCUCUCCCUCCCCCCCCCCGCCCUCCUCAAAUGCAGGUAAGCAAAAAACAACCCCCCCCCCAACCCCCAACAAUUCUGCAAUUCCUUUCUUGGCAACCAGUGUUAAAACUUCAUUAUGUGUCUUCUGUCCUUUUCUGUGUACAAGCACACUUCUUUCUAUUUUAACAAAAAUGAGAUCAUACUAUAAAAGUGUUUACAUUCAUUUUUUUUUUUUUUGAAACUUAGCAUUAUGUCAUGAACAUCUUUGCGUGCCAGUGGAUACAUUUCUGCUGCCUCCUUUUCAAUUCUUUGUACUAUGCCAUAAGGAUGUGCCUUCAUAUGUCUUAUCCAUCCUUUAUUGAGCGUGGAGCUUGUUUCCAGCUUUGUGAUAUAAACACUGCUGAACAUCCUCCCAGCUAAAUCUGUGUGUACACCCUUCGUGAUUUCCUAAGCUUAAGCUCUUAGAACUGGAAUUUCUGGGUCAAAGGGCAUGCAUUCUUUUUAAGACAUUUGAUGUUUAUUGCCAAAUCUCAGAAACAUUGUACUAACUUAUACUCCCACCAAGACUAUCAGCAGGCCCCUUUUUCCUGCAUCCCCUGCCACUGCAGUUUUAAAAUGUUUUCAGAGGUUCCUCCUCUAACUGUGGAGUUUUCCACAUUUGCGUUCUGUGCUUCAUAAUUAAUAUUCCUGUCUGAUCUGUACAAUGCUUGGACAUUACGUAUUGACUUUAACAACAACAAAAAACCCCACCCCAUUUCAAGACCUCUCCCAAUUGUUUCUUGUACUGCUGUAGGCCCGAAAAUGCUUAAUUUCUGGAGAGGUCCUUCUCAGGUUCAGUGGAACACCAUGAACAGUGUUGAUUUUGUGAUCUUAGUGUAUUAGGUCCUUUAUAUAUAUUGCUGGCCGUAAACUCAAUGACUGGGGAGGAGGCCAAUACCUGAGGCGUUCUGUGUGCAUGUGUAGAGCAUUUCAGUGAAUCCAUUCCAGCAGUUUUCAGGUGAACCAAUAACCCUGCCAAUUUUAAAAACAGCUGUAAGAUGCAUCUCGAUUUCCAAGAUGUUCCGUUGUGGAAACCUGUGUCUCAGAACUGGUGGAUACGUCCCAUCUCUGCUUUUCUGGUCACAUGGUGGGCUUGCUCUGGAGACAGGAGACAUUCUUGGACACACCGUUCAGUUCAACGUAAGUUUUGGAGGACUGCUAACUAAGGACAUCUGUGGAGGGAGAUUUUAUAAAGUUAAAACAAUGCUUUUUAUGAGGUGUGGACUGUGCAGUGUAUCUGUUAGUGGGAACGUUUUCCUUCCCUCUAAGUUGAGGAGGAGGGCCUGGAGCUCCAGUGUCUGAAUGGGCACAAGUGUUUCUCCGUCUAAGUGACAGACCAUCAGGGCAUCCCCUCUUCCCCACAGGGGCUGUUUUCCCUGUGGGUGCCCACCAUGUAGCCAGAGCCAAACACCAUCUGAAGAGUAAAGCUCAGGUCUCCCUGUACAGUCAGGGCAACCCCCAGCCCACGAGGCCUCCUUAAUUGUUAACAGAACAUUCCUGCAGAGCACACACCCUCCACAAAGCCUACACACAUGUUCUUAGAGUGUGACUCGAGGAAACGAGCAGAUGUAAUGGAAACCUCAGUCUUGACUCAUCCUGACUCUUACAUAUGAAUGGAAUUUGCAUCUCAUUUAGCUUUAAUCCAACAGUCUUUCAGGGUAAAUUCCCAUGGAGGUCAUGAAAUACUGAAUUUAGAUGCACAUAAUGCCUUUCCAAAAGGGGCUGGAAACUUUUGCAAAUAAAAACGUGCCGCCUUUUCCUUGAGUCCUUGAUUUCAGUUGACAGCUGGUGAGGGAGUCGGUGAAGGGGAACAUUGUUUAGUGGUGAAGAGGUUCAGCUCCCCUGGGGUACAGUCAUUAGUCCUGGUUGAAGACAGGCCUUGAACCCAGUGUUUUGUUGGCUCUUCAGUGGGGAUGUAGAGGUGGUUACCAAGAAGCACUUUUCCUGCCUACUUCCUUUCCUACUUGGAAAGACCUCGUCAGCGCAGAAAACAAUGGGAAAAUAAUACUAAGUUCCUAUAUAAGUUGACAAGUUGUGUAAUACAGACAGGGCUCAGAAAUUCAGAGAGAGCAGUGUGGAUGAGAGUAAAACAAGCUUGGUGGAAGAAAGAGAUGAGCCUUAAUGAACUGAUAAGAUUGAAAUAGGUAGAAAUGGGCACUGGAGUAGGAGGGUAUCAUACCCCUUCAUAAGGGUUUGGAAAUAGGAAUGAAUGUGGGUGUACUUAUAUGGCAAGGAGAAGCCUAACUGGCUGUUAACUUUUAAUGAAUAAAUAAGUAAAUGAAAAAUAAGGAUAUUUUCAAGACCUUUUUUUGGUCCGUUGUCAUUGGUUUCCCCAACCAGGCCUGUGCUAUACAGAAUAGAUCUACAACCUUCAGAACCCAAUGUCAAUAUGCUAAACUUUUUUUUUUUUUUUUUUCCCUUUUUUAAACUAGGCUUGCAAGGCCACACAGACUGUUCAGAUUAGCAUACUGGAAAAAUAAAGCAUUUUCCUCUCUGUUCCCUCCUUGGCUUCCUUGAUGAAGCUCUUUACUCCAUGAAUGAAUCUCUAUUCUGACUCUUCAGGAUAGCAUGACGGUUUAUCAGUCACAGUGGCUCUUGGCUUUGGAAACCAAAUGUAUAAUGCCUAGGUGAGAGAGUCCUUCCAAUGAUACUGCCCUCCUGCUGUAUGAAGCCCUGGUGACACAAUGGGCAGCAGACAGACCUUGAACUUGACCUUCCUGGAACUUUCAGUGUGGUGGGGAAGUGUGUAUUGUACAAAUAAAAGCAUAAGUAAAUACAGGCUCACAAACUGGUUAAGUGCUAUACAGAAGCCUAGCUAAUGUGAGAACUGUAAUCGAUGGGUUACCAGGGGAUCUUGUUGACUUGGUUCUAGGCAUUGCGUACAUCGCUUCUUGUAUGUUAACUCCUUUAGGCCUCCCUCCGAUAGCAGGUGGGUACCAGCCGCCGUUACUCUUGAUGUACAGGUGAGGACCUGAGGCUCAGGAAGUGAAUAACUUGGUUUAGGUCACUAAUAAAUACCAAAGCCUGGAUUUGAAAACGUAGGCAGUUCUAAAUUUGUCCUCUUAUGCUGAACCUCCAUGCCCAUCUGGAGGGGUAUUCUUCAGAGAAGUAUAUAUUCCAAGGAGAUAAGAGGUCUUUUGAGCCUCGUGCCUCUUGGGAGAUAUGGGACUUGCCCAGGUCCUCUGUGAUCAGUAAUGUGGCAACUUCUUUUCAAGGAGGUGAGUCACCCAGUUAUACGCAGUAUCUCUAGUUUCAGAAACUCUGGGUUGCCUUGGAUUUCACGCCAUAGUCUGCUCUCUUCCAUCUUUUCCGUCCCCCUGGUCUGGACUCAAAAGGACACCCCCAGCCUGCAAUGCCUUUCUCUCAUCCCUGGUCCAUUCGUUACUCCUAGCAAUUGACUCUUCCAAAGGUGUUACUCCCAUAAAUCAGCUAGCUCCUGAAGACACUUGAAAACAUUUGCAAAUUCCUUGAUAAAGGGUCUGAAGCAUAUGAAGGUGCUGUGAAGAACGGGACAGAAGCGGCUGCCACUGUUUAUUGUUGUUAGUGGGUAAGAUCCAGAUUUCUUUUUUUUUUUUUUUUUUUUAAGGUUUAUUUUAGAGAGCAGGGGUGGGGCGGGGCAGAGGGAGGGCUAGAGAGAAUCUCAAGCAGACUCUGGUGGCCCGGAGAGAUCACGACCUGAGCCUAAACCAAGAGUAAGAUGCUUAACCAACUGUGCCACCCAGGUGCCCCAAGAUCCAGAUUUCUUUAGCUGACAAAGCCGGCCCCCCCACCCCCCAGGCCCCUUCCUGCAUUUCUGAACUUGUCUACUAUCUUCCUGUGUGCACGGUCUCUUCAAUCUCCAACCCAACAGCUAGUCUAGUGUUCUUUAAGUAGGCUCCAUGCCCAGCAUGGGGCUUGAACUCAGGACCCUGAGAUCAAGAGUCCGAAUGUUCUACCAGCUGAGCCAGCCAGGCGCCCCGAGCACUUUGUUCCUUUUUAUGGCUGAAUAGUGUUUCCCUUGUGUGGAUAUAUACCACAUUUUCUUUAUUCAUUCAUCAUUGAACAUUUAAGUUGUUGCCACUUUUUGGGUGCUCUGUUCUUACAGAGGUCCCUUCUUUUUUUAAUUUUUAUUUAUAUAUCUAUAUUUUAAGAUUUUAUUUAUUUGCGAGAGAGAGAAUGAGAGACAGAGAGCAUCAGAGGGAGGAGGAUCGGAGAGAGAAGCAGACUCCCCGCUGAGCAGGGAGCCCGAUGUGGGACUCGAGCCUGAUGUGGGACUCGAUCCCGGGACUCCAGGAUCAUGACCUGAGCUGAAGGCAGUCGCUUAACCAACUGAGCCACCCAGGCGCCCCUACAGAGGUCCCUUCUUACAGGGACCCCCUCCAGGUCCCUGAGGUUCUAGUGCAUAGAGUGCUUUCUUCCAUUCACUCCAUGCGUUUACAUUUUUUUUCUUCCAGGCUUACCCUGUGGGCUUCCCUUCUUGCCUGUGGAGCUUUCCGUCCAUAGAACUAUUAUGUCAGCCUCCCACUUAGCAGCUGAAUGCUACCUCGUACAUGCACUUCUGUUCUUUCACACAUAUCUAUGUAUGUUUGUUUAUUUGGACUUUGAGCUCUUUUUUUUUUUUUUUUUUAAGACCAUUCAACAAAUACAUAUAUACAUACGGAGCACUGACUUUAUGCUGUACACAUAGUAGGCCUUGGCGGAGAAUCAGUGAACAAAGCUAAGAGUCUUGAUCUUGUGGAGACUUUAGAUUUCUAGCAGAGCUUGCAUUCUAGGAGAUUUAGAAAUGUAUACACACACAGUUAACUGCUGCUCUUGUAUAUUUCCAGCACCUGGCCUCAAGAUGUCCUACAGUAUAGAUUCUCAAGAAACCUUAUUUGAUAACUAUUACAUUGAUUUAUUUUUUAUUUAUUUUUUUUUUGAGAGCAUGUGAGAGCACUAGCAGGGGGAGGUGGGUCAGAGGGAGAAGCAGGCUCCCCAAUGAGCAGGGAGCCCGAUGCGGGACUCCAUCCCAGGACCCUGGGAUCAUGACCUGAGUCGAAGGCAGACGCUCAACCGACUGAGCCACCCAAGCCCCCUGAAAUUUUUUUAGUUAAAAAAAAUUUAACGAGACCCUGUAACCCUCUCCAAGCUGUAUAGAUGGCUGUCUUACUUUUUUUUUGCAGGCGCUAUAAUUACAGUUGGCCAAAUUUAUUCACAAAGGGGAAGAGGUGGAUAUUAAUUAAGUGUCCCCUUGGAGAAUGAAAACCAACUCGGGGAGAGCAAGUCUCCUGUCCUCACACUAAACCAUGUCUUUACUCCAUACCCUUGCCUGUAUCUUGCUGCUUUUUCCUAGCCUGUUCAAGUAGGAGUCUUAAUUACUCCAAGGAUUGGAAUCUUACGGGGAGACCCUGUGGGAGAUGCAAGGAGGGAGGCUGGAGCCUGUUCCUCACUGUCAAAGUUGAAAAAUCUUCCUCCUCCUCCUUCCUGUUCGUUAAUAGGAAAGCGUUGACUCCUUUCCUGACCCAAUUUGAGGUGCUCUUGGCCACAAACCAAGCACCCAAGGAGAGCUGCCGGCUCCUUACCCAUGCACACUAUUAACUGUAGUACGUCAGGUCUCUGUCUUCUCUAGUCUCUUGGCAAUGACAUGGCCGAGCUCUCCCAGCAUACCGUGAGAACUAACGAGUUAAUAUUUGCAGAGGCCUGUGGAAAUGUUAAGUGCUCCGCGUUGUUGUUAUCUUCUCUCUGAGCUUGGUUGCCUUAUAAGGCUGUCCACUAGGCCCAGGGACUUCUGUUGGGGAGCUGGGCCAGCCUGGGAGGCUCGAUGGCUGUGGCAGUCCAGGACUUGUUCCCGGAACGGGCUCAGAUUUCCUAUUUUAAUACUGGUGAUACCACUUUUUGCUAAUUGCUGGUCCAGCUCUCACAAGUACUUUUCCCUCCACUGUAUAGCAUCUAUUUUUAGCACCCCAUCUCUGUGCUUCUUGCCCUUGGAGAACCAAGUAUAGUAAAAAUCCACUUGGACAGAAUAAUCCAAAAUUCUUAAAUUUUCUGGAAAGGUAAGCUACUUAUCCUAAGAAUUAUUUUGAAGUAAAUGCAUUCUUUUUAAAAUGUUGUAUUUUUAAAAAAUGACAGGUGCCUGGCUGGCUCAGUCGGUGGAGCAUGCGACUCUUGAUCUCAGUGUGGAGGGUUCGAGCCCUGCAUUUGGGAGUAGAGUUUACUUAAUAAAACAAUAAAAUAAAACCGAAAUGGCAGGUACAACAUUCAAAUCGUGCUCCAUUUUUUAAAAAUCGAAUAAAAAUGUAUAAAUAUUCAAUGUAGAUUACGACAAAAGUUUCCUUUCAUGAAAGAGGCAUUUUUUUUCAAACAGUAGUAUGUAAAGAUGGAAAUUUACAUGUUCAAAAUCCAAUUUUAAAGAUUUUUCCUCCCUCUGGUUAUCAUCGUAAUGACAUAGAUUUAUGUUAUCCUUGGUUUUUGAGCUGGAAGGGACCUAUGAGUUGCUUUUGUUCAAUACCCUAUCAUUGAUCAGUGUGGCAGCUGAGUCUGAAGCCCAUUCCCUUUUUAAAGUAAGCUGCAGGGGCGCCUGGGUGGCUCAGUUGGUUGAGCAUUUGAGUCUUGGUUUUGGCUCAGGUCAUGAUCUUGAAGUCGUGGGAUCGAGCCCUAAUUCCUGCUUCAGAUUUUCUCCCUUUCCGUUUGUCCCUCCCUGCCCGUGUGCUCACGCAUGCGUGCUCGCUCUCUCUCAAAUGAAUAAAAACUUUAAAAAGAAAACUGCAUUGUUCUAAUUCCCAUUUCUCCCUGGAAGAAGAGCUGUCCUAUCUUUCUGGAUCCCAAAUGUCAAGUAAAUAACUCCUAUAGUUUGUGUUAAUUUGUAAAGUGGACAGAAUGAGAGGUAUUAACAGCACCCUUCUUGGAGUAGACUGAGAAGGUAAGUGCUGUAAAAUAUGCCAAAAUGGUGGUGUGGGUCAAGAGAGGAGUAGACUGUUACUUCUUAGAAGUAUUUUGGUCAGACCUCCUUUUUCGUGUCAUCAGAACAGUAGGUCAUUGGUUACCAUCUAUGUUGGCUCCGUGGGCUACCCUCAUUUUCAUUAAUGAUAUGCUUCUGCAUAUAAGUAACAUAAGACCUUUUUAGAGGCAAUAAACAAAUAUUUUGGUGAGCCUUGUGAAUGUGUAUAGGCAAUCUCUUGUUUAUAUGAAAUGGUGCAGAGUUGGGGAACUUUGGUUUGGCUUUGGUAGUUGUGGGCAGUGGGACAAAGUAGGCAGGGUCUGUUGCUGGUUAGCUCAUUUGAUUCCAACAGUAUGCUAAUGAACCCAAGGUCACUGGACCAUUUGUGUGUAGGCCAGCCACCUCUGCUCUGCUGGGAUUCCACACCUUGGCCAGGAAGCUGGGCGAUGUGUGUCACUGGUCACGAAGCUGGAGCAGAUAGAUCACCAGACCCAGUAAAGGAACUCAAAACACAUGCCCUCUGGAUCAUAGACUAUAGCUCUAAAAUUUAUAAGAUAGUAUAGCAGACGCUUUGCAGAGUUUUUCUUCUAAAAAAUUUUCUUUGAGGGGUCCCUGGGUGGCUCAGUUGGUUAAGAGUACAACUGUUGACCUCACCUUGGGUCUUGAUCUUGGGGUCAUGAAUUCAGGCCCAUGCUGUGCUUGGGGCCUACUUAAAAUUUUUUUUUUCUUUGAGUAAUAAGUAUGUGCCUACCAAGGAUCCUAGGAAAAUACAGUAAAAUAUGAGAGAAACAAAAAUUGCUUGUUAUCCCAUUACUGACAGGUUUUACUUUUGGAUUUUUCUGUUCGUGACAUUUUCUUGGCUUCCAUGUUUACUGUAGACUUCUCUCCCCCUUCCCACCCCCUACCCCUUUAUUCUCCUUUUCAUCUUUGUUGUUGUUGUUGAUUUGGUCCUUAAAAUGAAAGUAUACCUUAGAACCUCUGUCUUGUGUCUUCAUUUUUUCUUACCCUGCAUGCCCAUGGAGGAUGUCCUUUGUCCUCCCAGAGUUCUGCCCUGAGCUUCAGAUUCAAAUAUCCUAGCAUCUGCAUCACUUCCAGUUGGAUGUCUUCCAUACACCGUAAUGAACUUCACACGUCCAGUAACUGGUGUCAUUAUCCUCACCCCCAAACCUCCUGUGCUCCACAUCUGUCCCCCUUCACCCAGGUGCCCACCUCUUCCAUCUCCCUCUGUAACUAGUCCCUUACCCUCCUAUUCAGGUGGCCAGCGGAACUUUGCGCACUGCUAUUCCGGCUGUGUCUCCCCAUAGUCCUUGCUCUUCACGACAGUCAGGGUGACCUUUCAAAAAAUGGAAAUGUGCUCUGUAAUCCUGCUUAAAACCUUUCCGCUGGCCCCCUUGCCAGAUAGCCUCCUCUGCAGGACUUUUUCCUGGAGAAUUCUGCUUUCGUCCUUCUGAGCUUCGUUCACUUCUCCAAGCAUCUGUAUCAUUUACCAUGUCGGACACCAGGUUCUGGGAACAGGCUGAAGGAGGUGGGGAGAGACAGACCUGGGCGUGGGCUUGGCCAGGAGGAUGUCAUGGCUUUGUCUUGGGGAAAACCUGGGCCAGGACCAUGCGGUUAACUGCUUGGUACAUUAGAUGGCGGUGUGUGGACACACCGUGCCUUGCUCCGUGUUUGGCACAUGGGAGUCCUGCAGUAUUUCAGCUUGCUUUUCCGCCAGACUUUGAGGGAUGGCUCCUUGAGAGAACCAUGCAUGGGUGAAGCACAUUGCACAGAGAGAACAACAUCGGAUUUCUUCAUCUAAAAUCAGUGCUUCUGGGGUUUGUCAGCUUGGUUGUGUGUUUCAUGCUUAAGAUGACUGUGUAUAGGGCCCAACUUUAAAGUAACACAGUGAAUCCCUUUUGUAAGAUUUCAAGUCCUGUUACAUUGCAAUGUGGGAUUUUCAGAGUUGGGAAAUCCCUGUGAGCCAGGACACAAGAGUGGUGUCUGGAGAUCCUGGUGACUUAUGAGUUGGAAGAGUUGCAUAGAUAGUAGCCAUGUCCCGUGCUUCAUUUUGGGUUUGUUUUGCAUCAUCGUCCAGAUAAACUAAACAAAAUGAUAAAGGAUGGAAAAGGCCCUCCAUUACCGUAGUCAGUGUUUGUGUAAAUGUUAAUCCCUAGGAAAUAGAAUGUUCUUCGCUCUCAUUCUUUUACCCUCAUUCUGCCCUCUUGAUGUCUUCCAUUUAUUGUUCUUUUGGUGGGGGAAGUUUGUUCUUCAAAGGAUCACAUAGAUCAUUUUACCUUCUCUAAGAAUACAAUAAAAUCUUUUGUGUUUGUGAUCACUGAAAAGUCUAUUAAAAUGUUUAGUUUCAUAUAGACACGAAACAUUGGGUAUUUAAGUGUUUACCAGAAUGUUUGGAAUUGUUGGAUGGCAGCUCUGGUUUUUUUUUUUUUUUUUUUUUUUUUUUGCUGUCUGUGCAGGGCACAAUGAAUCUUCACUACUCACUCCCAGAUAACGGAUUAUCUGUAGCUGAAAUCGACAUGGAGACUCCUCAGAACACCUGUUUUUCAUAAACUUAGAAAGUUGCAAAGAACCAUAAAUACCAUGGCCCCUCAUUUUUCUGUUAAAAAAAAUUACAAAGUAAUAAGUACUUGUAAUUUUUGAGGUAUAAAAAUACAGAAGUCCUUGCAGCAAAUAAUGUAAUAUUCUCCUCAGUCUCCCAUCCUCAUCUUGUUCCAGAAGUGUAAUCAGAGUUAAUGGCUUAAUAUGCAUCUUUCUAUGCACUUAGAUACAGAUAAAAAUGUUUUGCAACAUGCAAUACGUGAUUUGUUCCAUUUUAACUUGACAGUAGAUCUUAAAUCUUCCAUGUCAGAAUAUAUAGCAGUAGCUUAUUCUUUUUAAUAGCUGUAUAGGACUGUUAUAGUAUUACAUUGUAGAGAUGUAUAAUAAUAUAUUUUAUUUCCUGCUGACUGACAUUUGAAUUAUUUUCAGUGUUUUUUUGCUGUUAAUGAUAUUGCAAGAAGCUUCUUUGCGUAUAGAAACAGGUGUGCUGGUAUUUCUGAUAAAGCAGUAAAGUUGCAUUUUAUGCAUUUGACUUGUUAGAAUUAAACCAUAUAUACUCUUAUAUAAUUAAAACUAAAAUUUUAGGGGCACCUGGGUGGCUCAGUCGUUUAAGCAUCCAACUCUUGAUUUCAGCUCAGGUCAUGGUCUCAGAGUCAUGAUACUGAGCCCCGCCUCAGGCUCAGCCCUGGGCGUGGAGGAUUUUCUCUUUCUCUCUCUUUUUCAAGUAAAUAAAUAAAAUUUUGUCUGUGUGUUCUUUAGGAUAUAUGUACAUCGGUAAAUGUAAUUUAUAUUUAUGUAUAUUAAGCAUAUUUGAAUACAUAAACUACGUAUACUUGAACAGUUUAUAGGAUCAUUAAGGUUUUUUUGUUUUGUUUUUUACCAUAAGGCAUUGUAUAAUUUACCCUUUAACUCUAGAACCUGAAUAUAAAUGUAAAGAGUCGUAGAAGUGGAAUUUCUGGAAGAAAGUAUGUGCAUUUAAUUUUUUGAUAAUGCUGAAUUGCCCUGUAAAAAGACUUACCAAUUUGUAAUUCCAUCUGGAGUGUUCAUUUUUCCAUAUGCUUUCCAACAUUAGAUAUUAUCUAUUUUACUUGGCAGUCAUUGGCUGAAAGAAGGUAUUUCGUUAUUUUAAUUUGUAUUUUUAUUAAUGAGGUUAUGAUUUUUUUUUUUUUUAAGAUUUUAUUUAUUUGAGGGCACCUGGGUGGCUCAGUUGGUUGGGCGACUGCCUUCGGCUCAGGUCAUGAUCCUGGAGUCCUGGGAUCGAGUCCCGCAUCAGGCUCCCUGCUCGGCAGGGAGUCUGCUUCUCCCUCUGACCCUCCUCCCUCUCGUGCUCUCUCUAGCUCAUUCUCUCAAAUAAAUAAAUAACAUCUUAAAAAAAAGAUUUUAUUUAUUUGACACAGAGAGAGAGAGAGAGAGAGCACAAGCAGGGGUAGCGGCAGGCAGAGGGAGAGGGAGAAAACAGGCCUCCUGCUGAGCAGGGAGCCCGACGCGGGGCUCGAUCCCAGGACCUUGGGAUCAUGACCCGAGCCAAAGGCAGACGUUCAACCAACGGAGCCACCCGGGCGCCCCUGUGAGGUUAUGAUUUUAAUGUGUUCACCAGUUUUUAGUCUGGUGAACUGUCUGUUUAAACAAUUUGGUUUAUUGAAAUUCCUUUUUUCUGUUAAAGUUGUCUGUUCAUUCUUAGGUGGUCUUUAUUGAAAACAUUGUCUAAUAUAUGUAUUUUUAGAAAUAUUUUCCCUAGUUGUUUCUUGCUUGUCUUUUAAGGAUAGGCCCAGAUUGUCAUUGUUGCUGUCAUUGUGACUAUGUGUUAAAAAUCCAAGAUUAUCAAUUGGAAAAAAAAAAACUAGAACUAAUAACAAACUUCAGUAAGGUGGCCAGACAAGAUAAACACAAAAUCACAGUGCCUUUUUUUUUUAAACACACCAGCACAGGAAAGCAGUGUACCAGCAUAAUCAGUUUAGAAAACAUAAUGAAAAAGAUAGUAUUCUUCACAGCAGUAAAAAAUUUGCAAGAACUACCUGAAGAAUAACAAGUCCACUAAAAUUUUCCAACUGUUUUUAAAAGAAGUUGACAAACUAGUUCUGAAGUUCAGGUGGACUUAAUAAAUGUAUAUAAAGCCAAGGAAAGUUUGAAAAAGAACUGUGAAGGAGGACUUUCUUCACCAGAUAUCAAAGCCCAACUCAGAAGGUUAAAAAUUAGUUUUAAGAUAGUAUAAAAUCACUAAUUGAGGAGAUUGAAGGCUAGAAAGGUAUGAAAUGAUUGGCUUAAGGUCAUAGAGGUAGUUAGGGACAUUUUUCAUGAAGUCUAAAAGUAUUUCUCAGUUUCUGAACUGAUCGUGAGUCUUUUAGCAAAACUCUAUUUGGGGAUUUCUAAAAAGACAGUGUAUUUUGGGAAAAUUAUGCACUCAAGGAAUCAACUUAGGGCCUUUGACCAAGCUUGAAUAGAGGUAGGUUAGAAAAGGAAAAUGCCAUGCAAAUCUGCCAAGUCCUUGUGUGUUUCAUAUUCUGGCAUCUUCUCUGUGAAUGUAGCCAAAUAGUUCAUCGGUGGAAGGUGAAGAGAGUCCUGGGGCUUAUCUAGAAACACUAGGUAGGAAUGCGUUCGAAACUUGGAAUCAAUUGACAGGUUAGUUGAUAUUUUAGUGAUAUUGUGAGUUAAAAGUUUAAAAUACUUACGUGUUUGAAGUCAAGAAAAUGGCCAAUUUUAACUUAUUUUCCUUCUAUGCCUUAAAUUUGUGGGUGUUGUGAAGAUGAAUAAAAAGUAUACACAUGGGAGGGGAUUUAGGGUUUAAAUUACUCGUGUGAAAAUUUGGCACGGUUUGUUUUGUUUUUCAUAGAUUUUUUUUUUUUGAGGGUGGUAUGAGCUGGUCAGCUGCAGAACCUUCUGUUAGUGAACUGAUAGCAUCUAGGGUGGAGCUAAGGGCGGAAACAUGUCUAAUCACAUACUCACCAACUUCCUGGCCCUAAGAAAGUUAUCACCAGACAGCAGCUACCAGGCUAAUUUAACUUUAGUUCUGGACAGGCACAUCUGCAGCAGUCAUUUUCCAAGUAUGUUUCUUAAAGAAGUUGUAGGCAUUAUUUGGCUUCCUCUUUCAGACGAUGUUUUCAUGAAUCCUAUAUAUAGAGAGAGAGAGAGUGUGUGUGUGUGUGUGUGUGUUAGCCAUUAAGGAUUCCUUGAAGUACACAUGUCCUCUCCAUAUACUCCAUUUGGUAUUCUUUUUUUUUUUUUUAAUUUAAGCAUACAUGCUAUUGUUUUUUGUUUUGUUUUGUUUUUUAAAGAUUUUAUUUAUUUAUUUGAGAGAGAGAAUGAGAUAGAGAGAGCAUGAGAGGGGGGAGGGUCAGAGGGAGAAGCAGACUCCACGCUGAGCAGGGAGCCCGAUGCGGGACUCGAUCCCGGGACUCCAAGAUCAUGACCUGAGCCGAAGGCAGUUGCUUAACCAACUGAGCCACCCAGGCGCCCCUCCAUUUGGUAUUCUUAAAUUUGAAAGCACGACAUCACACAGAUAAUUUUUUGAGAAAAUUUGUGCAUACCUACUAUGUGCAGUGCCGUCUGGACAACUCAUGGGCUAAUGGAAAGUAUUAAAUGGUUAGAAAAGACAAACUGCUAUAACAGAUUUUAAAAAGUUAUCUCUGGGUUGGAGAUUGAAGAAAAAUUCUUAGAAGCAGUGGUAGCAUUUGGGUUUGGGAUGUGUAGGAUUAUCCGCUGUUGUUUUAUACACAAAUCUAGGCUUUGUUGAGGCACGAGUGCUCCCUGGCACUUCCUUUUGGAGGAACUUAUUGUACAAAAGAAACCCCAAUGUAGGUUUCUGAAUGAAUUAGGCCUAUCUGAGGGUAGAUCUUGGAAAUCCUUCCACUUGGGCUCAUUGUCUUCAUUUUUCUCAUGUAAACACACCCCCCCAGAAGUCAUAGGAAAAUAAAAAACGCACCUUCUUUAAAAAAGAAAUGGGAAGAUCACAAGUUUAUAAUGGUAUUGAAUGGAUGUGUUUUGCUGAAACAAAGUUACAUUUUCAGUAUUUGUUUCUGUCUGUCUGUGCUGGGUGAACUCAGCACAGCAGGGAAUACUAUUUGCUGCAGUGAGCCCUUUCUAAUUCACAGUUCAUUUUGUAGAUGUAACUUAUCUGUUCAACUGUUGAAAGUCCGGCCCAGAACCAGGACCUGGCUCAGAGGCCUGCCAGCAGUGAGCAGUUGAAAUGUAUAUUACGAUCCCAUGCCCUCGACCUCUGGGGCUGCUGUAGUGAGAGCUGUUCAGCCUCCCUUGUGGCCUUUUUAUCCUGGAUACUGAGUUGCCCUGAGCUUUGCUCUCUGGCUUCCCAGCCUUCCAGUUUUCUGUCCACCAGGGCUCUCUCUCUCCUCACUGUGCCUGGAGAUCCAGACUCUCAAACCUCUGCCGUCUGUGUCCCUUAUCUGUUCAUGUGUUCUGUCACCUUGCGGGUAUUUGUAGGUCACCAGUUCUGCUUUAAUUUGAAGACCGGCGGGGCAGCACUUGGGACCUCUCUGCCCUUUGUGUAUAUCGCCUUUGGUUGCCUAGCAACCCGUGAGGGGACCAGUGAGGACUGGUGUGCUGGGGGAAGCCUGGGAGGGGUUCUCCAGUGUGGGCGAGGCUUCGAGGGGAGGGGAAGCCUGCUGUUGGAGGAAGGGCCCCCUUCUUCCAUUUCCUCUCUACAAUCUCUCCCUUUUUUCUUUCCUCUUUUUUUUUUUUCUUCUUUAUUUUUGCUUCUAUCUUUGGCCCACUGGUGCCCAUUAGGACCACAAAAUCGGUGGCAUAGAUUGGUCGAGGAGUGAGGGACUUCCCGGAAAGAGAAUAUCUUAGUUUAGGUUUUCAGGGGUAGAGUAAUUUGAGAAGAAUGGCAUGAUAGUAAAGAGUUUCCACUGGAGCUGCAUUUAGAAAAUUGAGAUGGGCUUCCUUUCCAUGGCUUCAUAGUGCUUUGAGCUUGGGAGUCAGCCAGUGCAGGUUUUGAAGGCGAGUUUCCUAUUCUGGCUGUCCUUUAUUAGCUGUGUUAUCUUGGGCAAGCUACUUAAUUUCUCUGAGGCUAGUUCUUCCUGUGUAAAUUGGGAAUAACAAUCUAAAGCAUAGGGUUGUAUGCGGAUCGUAGCAAUAAUUAUAGAGAGAGCACGCCCCAUUAGGAUUUAAUGUGUUCAACUCGUGCACAGCUACCUGGAAAGGGGUUAUAGCAUUGAAAAGUGGAUGAGGACAGGUUAUUGAGAAAUCAGUCAAGAAGCCCAGAUUUUGUGACCUUGUACGUCAAAUUAUAAAUCCGAUACUUAAGGUACAUGGUUAUGUUGGAUUCAUAACUAGGUUCAGAGUCUUGUUAUGCUUGCUGGCUGGUGACUUUUAACCUCUCUAAACCUUAGUUUCUUCAUCUCUUUGGAAGAGAAUGAAGAUAAUGCCUACUUCAUGGAAUCAUAAGGUAAUGUAUGCAAAACAUGUGGCCCAGUGUCUGGCACAGAAUUUGAUCUAGAAAGGAAGCUCUUAUUUUUACUUUACAGGAAACUUUAAGGCAUGGCAAAAAGAGUAGCAAUUUAUGCUAUAAUAAUGAUUACAUUGUGCCCCCUGUCCUUGGAACUGUGGCUGUUCCGCUUCCAAAAUCUUUGACCCUCCUGCAUUAUUUUCCCAGAGAAAACAAAACAGUAGCAUCAGCCUGUUAUUAAAUAGUAAUGCUUUACUCCAUUAUUAUUACUUUAGAAAUUUCUAUCCUCCAGAAGUUAAGGCUACUACAUUCCUCAAUGUAUUGCAGUGUAUGUGAGCAUGAGUCUUACUGGGUCAGUAUUCUCUGCUCCUGUGAUCUAAAGAUAUAUAUAUGUGGAAUGACUUAAUUUCUUUAUCCCUAACAUCCAGCAUGGUGAUGUAACGUGUGCUAGGAGAUCAAUAAAUGUCUCUUGGGUUUUGGUUUCCCGACUUUCAAAUACUUUUCUUUCCAUUGACAGUUAUUUACACUGCGGUGACUACUUUUGGUGUUUUAUUUCACAUUGAACAUUAAAUUAACUCUGGAUAUGUGCCUGUUUACUGAACAUGCUUCUUUCUCCUGUUUUGUUGAAAUAGCUAGUUCCCUUAACUAAGGAAUUUUGGUGAGAUUGAGUGUAUUUAUCAAAUACGAACUAGGUUCCAGACACUGUUCUAAACAUUUUUACAAACACCAAGUUACUGAGUUCUCCUGAUCAUCCUGUCAAAUGAGGCACAGCUAGGAUUCUCAUUGUCUACCUGAGGACAUUGUCGAGAGGGUAAGUAACUUGCCUGAGCUCACACCGCUUCAUGAUAAGGCCAGCAUUUGAACCUGGGCUGCUGUUGACUCCGGCACUGGUGUUCUUCACCACCACCCUGCUCCCUACCAUGCCAGGCACUCAAAGGCUUCUCUCCUUCUGUCUCUUUCACGAUAAUGUCGCCUAUACUACUUUACAGAUGGCGGCUCAGAGUUGAUCAGCAACAGAGUGAAUUCUAACAACAGGAGAAUUACAUGUUGAAAUGCCGGUGACGUGUGAUGUCAUGUGAUGGUGACGACAGAUGUUGGGUUGGCUGUUUGUGUUCCCCCAGGGGGCCAAAUUGCCAACCUGGAAAUAAGGGUUCUUGUGUUCAGACUCCAGGGUGGUGAUUAUUCCUCAGGAGGCAGCCAUCCUUUUAAUCUUGUGGUAGAAAAUUAAAAUUUUAUUUAUUUGCAAGAGAGAGAAUGAGAGACAGCAUGAGAGGGGGGAAGGUCAGAGGGAGAAGCAGACUCCCUGCUGAGCAGGGAGCCCGAUGCGGGACUCGAUCCAGGGACUCCAGGAUCAUGACCUGAGCCGAAGGCAGUCGCUUAACCAACUGAGCCACCCAGGCGCCCCAAACCUUGUGUUUUUCAAGUCACUUUCGGAGCAGCCCUGGCAAGCUUUGGAAAGGGUAGGGGGUCACCGCCAUAUGUAGCCCCACAGGUAACUCUGUUCUGUGGGAAUCCAUUAAAAAACAAUCAAACGCAUUUGCUUCUGCUUUUAAGACAAGUGAAAGGUGGUAAGUAAAAGGUCAUUGAAAGUUCUUUCCUAAGGGUGUUUUAUUUUGUGGGCAGGAUAGAGGCAUCCUGCUAAAGUCAUGAAUGUAAUAAUCCUAUGUUAGAACUGGAAGGAAUUUCACUAGCCCAGCCUCUUCAGUUACAAAUGAGGGAACCGAGGUCCAAAAAUGGAGUGAGACGCCAUCUAACAUGGUGGUGUGGAUGUGGACCCGGUCUGUGCCAUCAGUCCUCAUGUGGAUUCAUGUGGAUGGCCCUGGGGGGAGGGGCCAUAUCGGGGUGCCUUUGUCUCCACUUUCUGUGCAGGAGUGCCUGGCUGUCUUCAAGCACACAGCUGGCUCCUAGAAAGCCUUUCUGGAUUCCCCAGGCAGUAUCUCCUUUGUGCUUUCAAAACUAAAUUUUGCCUAAAUUAGAAGCCGUGAAAUCCAGCCCUCCUGGAAGGGUAUUUAGUUUUCCUUUUUUAAAAAAAAGCAAAACAGUUAAGUUAAUGACAGUGUUGGAAGCCUUAACCAUACCAUCCAAUGAUUGAUAUACAUGUUCCCAAAUUUUUGUACCGAAAUACAAAAACAGUCUAUAAUCUUAUUUUGUAAUCAAAGUUUAACCAGUUACGGUAGGUCUCCAUACAUCCUUAAGCAAUCGGGUCCUCAAGUCACCCAGCAAGAUCCCUUUUAUCAACUUCUUGCAGCCAUCUCCUUUCAUGUUUUGGCCUCUUGGUGUACAGAGUUUCUAAGCUCAGCAGCCCAAUAAAUUGUACUAUUGUCUCCAGGUUUCCAUGUUUUUAAAAAAUGGUAUACAUUUUUGUCUGUUGUCUCCUUUUUCAAGAUGUCAGUCAAUUUGUGUCUUUAAAUUUAUUUUAAUUUAAUUUAAUUUUUUUAUUUUUAUUUUUAUUUUUUUAAAGAUUUUAUUUAUUUAUUUGACAGAGAGAGGCAGUGAGAGAGGGAACACAAGCAGGGGGAGUGGGAGAGGGAGAAGCAGGCUUCCCGCGGAGCAGGGAGCCCAAUGCGGGGCUCGAUCCCAGGACCCUGGGAUCAUGACCUGAGCCGAAGGCAGACACUUAACGACUGAGCCACCCAGGCGCCCCAAAUUUAUUUUUAUUUUAAAGAUUUAGCGCAAGUGGGGAGGAAUUAGGGGGAAAGGGAGAGGAGGAGACUCUCAUGCAGACUCCCCGCUGAGCAUGGAGCCCACGAGGCUUGAUAUCAUGACCUGAGCCAAAACCAAGAGUUGGACGCUUAACUGACUGUGCCACCCAGGUGCCCCUUUCUAAAUUAUUUUUAAAUUGAAAGAGGGAGGGUACUUUAGAAGAAAUUACAUAGUAAUUUAUGAAUUAAAUGCCCUACCCCUAGUAACUUUGAUUUCUAAAACAACACUUUAGGUUAAUUGUAUAGAACUUAUGGAUAAACUUGGCAAAUUUAAAAAAUGUGAAAUCACAUAUGUCCCUUUGCCACUGUUGACUAUGUAGAAGAGAAUCCUACCUAUUGCUAUAUGCCUGUAGUAUCUCUGUAAGAGAAGGAACAAGUUGCAUGUCAUGAUUCUCUGCUGUCAUGUGGAACCAAGGUAUUGUGAGAACUGAAAGCAAAGAAGAGGCUUCGUUAUGUGUAUCCCUAAUGUACUUUUGGGGCACAUUUUUCAGAUCUUAGAAAAUGAAUCUUUUUUUUUUUUUAAAGAUUUUAUUUGAGGGAGUAAGAGAGAGCACAAGUGGAGGAGGGGCAGAGGCAGAGGGAGAAGCAGACUCCCUGCUGAGCAGGGGGACCAAUGCGGGGCUCCAUCCCAGGACCCUGGGAUCAUGACCUGAGCGAUAGGCAGGCGCUUAACCGACUCAGCCACUCAGGCGCCCCCAAAACCAAUCUUUUAAUGAGUUACUAAUUUUUGAUCCACCCCCCCAAAGUAUAUCAGAAAAUAUAUCAAAGAACAGAAAUACAAUAGUGACAGCAUUUUUUUAAAUUACUGGCAUUUAAAGGCUAUAUGGAGAGAAUCGUGUUUGAGUAGCUCUCCUGUUAUUAAUUGGAUAGGGUGGGGUAAUCCGUGCAGCAGUCCUUUUAUGUGUGUUUGACAAUACGUGGAUAGUGUAACAUCAUAUUUAGUAGGCCCGAUUUGUAGCCUUUGUCUCAUCUUUAUUGUCUCGACUUAGAUAUGGAUGAAAGUGUGAUGAAUUUCAAAAAUACCUGUCUCUUCAUUUAUUCUAAAAAGAUAUAUUAAGCGCUUACCAUGUGCUAGGCACUGUGUAAAUGGCUAAAAUUUAAAGACCAACUAAAAAGGCUCUUUACUUAUGUGAAAGCAAUGAAAAGUGAAGCAGAUAAUUAAAUGCAAUAGGUAAGUAAUUAUUUGUAUGAUUUUUAUUUUUAAUAUAUAAAUAUUUAAAAGUGGUUCUAAAAUGAACCAAGGCCUGCUGCCAUUAACUUGUAUCUCUUCUCUCUUUCAAUGAUGGUGCCUAUCAGUAUACUUAUUAGUGAGCAUACAGUUCUGUUGUAUCAGAGUUAAAAAAUUUUUUUUGUUUAACUUCCCAAAGAUCACUUUUUUUUUUUUAAAGAACCAAUCUUAAUUGUUAACAUAAUUUGACAGAAAAUCCUAUAGGUCUUCAAACUCUCUCCAAUAAGAAAGUAACCUUUUUUUCUUUUAAUCCCCACUGUCUGAGGAGAUCCUCCAAGUCUUUGGUUAGAUGGAAAACCGUAGACCCUUUGCCUGCAUCUCAUCUGCUCUGCAUUGUUUUUUCUGUUUCAUUUUGUUUUUUAAUUCUUAAGCAAGGGAUCCUUUUUCUGGGCCUCUGCUGAUCCUGGUACUGACCACAGAGGUGCUCAGGACUUCUUUCAGUGACCCUUGGGAAUCUUGGUAGCACGGGCUCCUUAAUUCCUUCCCGGAGUGAAAUGUUUUCAUCCCAUGAAACUAUUGCCUUAACUUGUGUCAUUGGUCUGUUUUGCCUUCCUAUCAACCAAACCACUUCCUUAGUUCCUGUGACUGCAACAGCCAUCUCCAUGAAGGGAGUUACGGUAAAAAAGAUGGUAAUGUAAAAGUCGGAUGGGUUUCGUUAAUAGAGUGUGAGAAUGUGGUGUGCAGGUUUGUAUGAGUAAUAGUCUACAAUCAGGGUAAUAGCUAUUAUAAUAAGGGCAAGUACAGCUUCUGGCUCAUUUGUAACUUAGCAAUAGUUUAAAUUCAUUAUUUGUUAUUCACUGCUUUAUUCUUGUUAUAAUAAGGCAAGGAAUAAAUGGGACAAAUCAUUACACAAUUUUUUCUGUUUGGCUAAAUUGCAACACAGGAAAAAAACAAAAAGAAAAACCCUUUAGCUUAGACAUUCCAUUGACCCAAGAAAAAUCACACACGCUUUGAAAACAGCUUUUAUUUGGAGAGCUAGACUUUUCUUGAGUCUUCCCAUGCGGAUCAUUCAAUUGAGAUCCAGUGCAAGCUUCUCCUCUAAAACGAUGAUGUCUUUUGCCUAAGAAUAGACAGACCCUUCUUUGAGUAUAGAAACCAGAUAAGCUGUCCUACAGUGAUCCAAAUAGCUAGCGGCUUCACCCUCACCCCACCCCCAAACUUGACUAACAACACAGCAAUAUAAUUUUACCGUUUAAAACUUGGCUGACCCAAAGAUGAACUUUCAAAGAAAACAAGAGUCGUGACUAAAAGAUUCCAUUUCUUUCCGGGGCCUAAUUGAAGAUGACUUUCCAGAACUUUGAAAAAACUUAUUCUUCCAAUGGUCACUUAAUUGUGAAACAAAAUAAACACCUACACGGGAGGUAAAAUACAGAGUUCUCUGUGUUUGGAUUUUAAAAUAUCCCCCCCUUUUUUUGGAGGGUGAGUUUUCUCUUUCUAGGGUUGUCAUACAUAGUUUGGAAUAAUUGAUCAGGUUUUGUCUGAGGAUUAUACUCUGAAUUUUAAGGGCAAUGAUUUAGGAAUAAUAUUCCAUUUCUUAAAAUUUGUCUUGUUAAGUGUCUCAUAAUACCUCUUUAUUCUGUGUGCCCUGGUAAUUCAGAACCACUGAAUGAUGGUUCCAGGACUCUAACUCUGGUGGGCCUGGCUUGUAAGCUCUUGCUUGUUGCACUGAACCAUAUCACCUCCCUUCUUGUGGAUGCCUUUCCAAACAUUUGGAAAUGUGAUCCUAGAGAAUUGGAACAGUUUCAAGGAACCAUAAGACAGUACUUAAGGUAGCGCAACAGAGUGUUGCACGGGCUCUGAAGUCAGACAGGGUUGAGUUUAAAUCCACACUCUGCUUUGAGGCUUUUUCUUUGGGUAAAAUGAGCCUUAUGUCCCAUUUAUAAACCAGGGAUAAUUAUAUUUGCAGUGGCAGAAUCACUGGGCUGAUUGCAUGAGCUAGUGUACACAUAGGAUUGGAUCAACUGUCUAGUACAUAGGAGUUCAUGAAAUGGUAGUUUUGUUUUCAAGUAGGCUCAACGCCCAAUGUGGGGCUUGAACUCAUGACCCUGAGAUCAAGAGUUGGAUGCUCUACCAGGCGCCCUGGUAGUUGUUUCUAUAAUUGGCUCAUUAUAAGCAUUGACUUAACCUAAAUUCCCAUGUUCUGAUUUUUGUCAUUGUAUACAUGAGUCUUGUCAUAUAUUCUGUAAGUGAUGCCUUCCAAGUGUGAGUUACUGCAAGAGUGAAAUGACUGAACAGUCAUGAAUGUUAGGUGGUCCUACACCAAUGCAGUGACUUCUGUGAGGUGAUCAAGCCUCUAUUUUG